rnacentral:lncRNA from 1 species
AAAAGUUGUGAUGGAAUACUAUUGUGCUAUAGAAGUGAUGAGCUGAAUGAUUUCAGAAAAAUUUGGAAAGACCAACGUGAACUGAUGCAGAGUGAAGUGAGCAGAAGAACAUGAACUUUCCACCUCUAGUUAUGCAGCCAUUAUUGAAGACUGAAAUUGCUGUGGAAAAGGGAUUCACCUUCCUUACCACCACCACCAACUGACCAUCUGCCACUGACUGGUAGGUAAACCCAAGAACCUUGGGAAGGACAGUACCUCCCAGACCA